ACCCAUAACGCCGCGUUUUCCUGAAUGACAGGGUUUACAUCAACCGUCUCAAUUGCGUUUACGGGAAAUUUUAUAUCAAUUUGACCGAAGCUAUUGACUCUCUCCCUGUCCUUUCUAGUUUUGCUCCAGUGUACCCGAAAACGCUUCAUUCAUACAGGCCUUGAUGCGCUCGCUGACGCCUCUUCUCCCCAUGUUCGCAUCAUACCAAGACUUCUCAUUGUGCUUUCCCCAACAAUAAUAGAACCAAAUUAACAUCAAUCCCCUCGCGCCAAAUGCAACUAGCACUUGGUGGCGUCUGACACCUCUUGGCCUUCCGCACGCAUCACCAGGGUACAUCAUCCUACGUUCUAGAGUCAGCACACCGAGUGCAUGGAUUUCCAGGGAAGCUCCUGUUCCAGAAAAGUUUGUUUCCCAGGAUAUUGGGUAAUACCGCUCCUUGCAGCGGAAUGGACGGAGCACAGGAAGAAGAGACAACGGAAACGAUGCGCAGGAUCCUGGAUGAUUCAAACUCCUGCCUCAUUUUAUUGCCCUCGGUCCUUGUAAUGGACCACCUCGACAAAAGUGCGGUUAUCUCCUCCACCAUCCCACAAAUUACGGGCAAUUUAUAGUUAUGCCUUCGAAGUUAC
rnacentral:sRNA from 1 species